AUUGAACGCUGGCGGCAGGCCUAACACAUGCAAGUCGAGCGGACGAAGGGAGCUUGCUCCUGGAUUCAGCGGCGGACGGGUGAGUAAUGCCCAGGAAUCUGCCUGGCAGUGGGGGAUAACGUCCGGAAACGGGCGCUAAUACCGCAUACGUCCUGAUGGUGAAAGUGGGGGAUCUUCGGACCUCACGCUAUCUGAUGAGCCUAGGUCGGAUUAGCUAGUUGGUUGGGUAAAGGCCUACCAAGGCGACGAUCCGUAACUGAUCUGAGAGGAUGAUCAGUCACACUGGAACUGAGACACGGUCCAGACUCCUACGGGAGGCAGCAGUGGGGAAUAUUGGGCAAUGGGCGAAAGCCUGAUCCAGCCAUGCCGCGUGUGUGAAGAAGGUCUUCGGAUUGUAAAGCACUUUAAGUUGGGAGGAAGGGAAGUAAGUUAAUCCCUUGCUGUUUUGACGUUACCAACAGAAUAAGCACCGGCUAACUUCGUG
rnacentral:rRNA from 1 species